GACGAACGCUGGCGGCGUGCCUAAUACAUGCAAGUAGAACGCUGAAGAGAGGAGCUUGCUCUUCUUGGAUGAGUUGCGAACGGGUGAGUAACGCGUAGGUAACCUGCCUUGUAGCGGGGGAUAACUAUUGGAAACGAUAGCUAAUACCGCAUAACAAUGGAUGACACAUGUCAUUUAUUUGAAAGGGGCAAUUGCUCCACUACAAGAUGGACCUGCGUUGUAUUAGCUAGUAGGUGAGGUAACGGCUCACCUAGGCGACGAUACAUAGCCGACCUGAGAGGGUGAUCGGCCACACUGGGACUGAGACACGGCCCAGACUCCUACGGGAGGCAGCAGUAGGGAAUCUUCGGCAAUGGGGGCAACCCUGACCGAGCAACGCCGCGUGAGUGAAGAAGGUUUUCGGAUCGUAAAGCUCUGUUGUAAGUCAAGAACGAGUGUGAGAGUGGAAAGUUCACACUGUGACGGUAGCUUACCAGAAAGGGACGGCUAACUACGUGCCAGCAGCCGCGGUAAUACGUAGGUCCCGAGCGUUGUCCGGAUUUAUUGGGCGUAAAGCGAGCGCAGGCGGUUUGAUAAGUCUGAAGUUAAAGGCUGUGGCUCAACCAUAGUUCGCUUUGGAAACUGUCAAACUUGAGUGCAGAAGGGGAGAGUGGAAUUCCAUGUGUAGCGGUGAAAUGCGUAGAUAUAUGGAGGAACACCGGUGGCGAAAGCGGCUCUCUGGUCUGUAACUGACGCUGAGGCUCGAAAGCGUGGGGAGCGAACAGGAUUAGAUACCCUGGUAGUCCACGCCGUAAACGAUGAGUGCUAGGUGUUGGAUCCUUUCCGGGAUUCAGUGCCGCAGCUAACGCAUUAAGCACUCCGCCUGGGGAGUACGACCGCAAGGUUGAAACUCAAAGGAAUUGACGGGGGCCCGCACAGGCGGUGGAGCAUGUGGUUUAAUUCGAAGCAACGCGAAGAACCUUACCAGGUCUUGACAUCCCGAUGCUAUUUCUAGAGAUAGAAAGUUACUUCGGUACAUCGGUGACAGGUGGUGCAUGGUUGUCGUCAGCUCGUGUCGUGAGAUGUUGGGUUAAGUCCCGCAACGAGCGCAACCCCUAUUGUUAGUUGCCAUCAUUCAGUUGGGCACUCUAGCGAGACUGCCGGUAAUAAACCGGAGGAAGGUGGGGAUGACGUCAAAUCAUCAUGCCCCUUAUGACCUGGGCUACACACGUGCUACAAUGGUUGGUACAACGAGUUGCGAGUCGGUGACGGCAAGCUAAUCUCUUAAAGCCAAUCUCAGUUCGGAUUGUAGGCUGCAAACUCGCCUACAUGAAAGUCGGAAUCGCUAGUAAUCGCGGAUCAGCACGCCGCGGUGAAUACGUUCCCGGGCCU
rnacentral:rRNA from 1 species